AGAGUUUGAUCAUGGCUCAGGAUAAACGCUGGCGGCGUGCCUAACACAUGCAAGUCGAACGCCCUCGGGCAACCGAGGGAGUGGCGGACGGGUGAGCAACACGUGGGUACCUACCCUUCAGUGAGGAAUACCGGCGAGAAAUCGCCGACAAGACCGCAUAUUCUUCGUAAGAAGCAAAGCUCGCAAGAGCGCUGAAGGAU
rnacentral:rRNA from 1 species